rnacentral:rRNA from 1 species
UACGAAGGGGGCAAGCGUUGUUCGGAAUCACUGGGCGUAAAGAGUUCGUAGGCGGUUCAAUUAGUCAGAGGUGAAAGCCCAGGGCUCAACCUUGGAAAUGCCUUUGAUACUGUUGAACUAGAAUCCGUGAGAGGGUGGUGGAAUUUCCAGUGUAGAGGUGAAAUUCGUAGAUAUUGGAAGGAACACCAGUGGCGAAGGCGGCCACCUGGCGCGGUAUUGACGCUGAGGAACGAAAGCGUGGGGAGCAAAC